ACUUAAAUUGAAGAGUUUGAUCAUGGCUCAGAUUGAACGCUGGCGGCAGGCCUAACACAUGCAAGUCGAGCGGUAGCACAGAGAGCUUGCUCUCGGGUGACGAGCGGCGGACGGGUGAGUAAUGUCUGGGAAACUGCCUGAUGGAGGGG
rnacentral:rRNA from 2 species